AGUGAACGCUGGCGGCAGGCCUAACACAUGCAAGUCGAACGGCAGCACAGUAAGAGCUUGCUCUUACGGGUGGCGAGUGGCGGACGGGUGAGGAAUACAUCGCCAUCUACUUUUUCGUGGGGGAUAACGUAGGGAAACUUACGCUAAUACCGCAUACGACCUACGGGUGAAAGCAGGGGAUCUUCGGACCUUGCGCGAUUGAAUGAGCCGAUGUCGGAUUAGCUAGUUGGCGGGGUAAAGGCCCACCAAGGCGACGAUCCGUAGCUGGUCUGAGAGGAUGAUCAGCCACACUGGAACUGAGACACGGUCCAGACUCCUACGGGAGGCAGCAGUGGGGAAUAUUGGACAAUGGGCGCAAGCCUGAUCCAGCAAUACCGCGUGGGUGAAGAAGGCCUUCGGGUUGUAAAGCCCUUUUGUUGGGAAAGAAAAGCAGUAGGUUAAUACCCCGCUGUUCUGACGGUACCCAAAGAAUAAGCACCGGCUAACUUCGUG
rnacentral:rRNA from 1 species